UACGUAGGGUGCGAGCGUUGUCCGGAAUUAUUGGGCGUAAAGAGCUCGUAGGUGGUUUGUCGCGUUGUCCGUGAAAACUCACAACUCAAUUGUGGGCGUGCGGGCGAUACGGGCAGACUGGAGUACUGCAGGGGAGACUGGAAUUCCUGGUGUAGCGGUGGAAUGCGCAGAUAUCAGGAGGAACACCGGUGGCGAAGGCGGGUCUCUGGGCAGUAACUGACGCUGAGGAGCGAAAGCGUGGGGAGCAAACAGG
rnacentral:rRNA from 1 species